GUGCUCCCUUUGGCAGCACACAUACUAAAGUUGGAACAAUACAGAGCAGAUUAGCAUGGCCCCUGUGCAAGGAUGACACGCAAAUUUGUGAAGCAUUCCAUAUUUUU